GACGUAGGGCGCGAGCGUUGUCCGGAUUUAUUGGGCGUAAAGAGCUCGUAGGCGGCUUGUUGCGUCAGCUGUGAAAACCCGCAGCUCAACUGUGGGCUUGCAGCUGAUACGGACAGGCUUGAGUUCGGUAGGGGAGACUGGAAUUCCUGGUGUAGCGGUGAAAUGCGCAGAUAUCAGGAGGAACACCGGUGGCGAAGGCGGGUCUCUGGGCCGAUACUGACGCUGAGGAGCGAAAGCGUGGGGAGCGAACAGG
rnacentral:rRNA from 1 species